rnacentral:tRNA from 1 species
GCGGCUCUUGGCCGGGGAUCAGAUCCGGCGCAUCGGGCGGGCCGAAGAAGUGCAUGCACGUCCGCCGCGCCCGAUCGUGCUCGGGCGGGUCCGCA